rnacentral:rRNA from 1 species
UAAGACGUAGGGUGCAAGCGUUGUCCGGAUUUAUUGGGCGUAAAGCGUCCGUAGGCGGUGAAGAAAGUUUGGUGUUAAAGAUCAGAGCUCAACUCUGUCCAGGCACUGAAAACUACUUUACUAGAGUGCGGUAGAGGUAAAGGGAAUUCCUGGUGUAGCGGUGAAAUGCGUAGAUAUCAGGAGGAACGCCAGUGGCGAAAGCGCUUUACUGGGCCGUUACUGACGCUAAGGGACGAAAGCCAGGGUAGCGAAAGGG